rnacentral:lncRNA from 1 species
CUAUGGGAUCGCACAGAGUCGGACACGACUGAAGCGACUUAGCAGCAGCUACUCCAAAAGACUCGUGAAUCCAGGUGAUUACUGACCUCCCACCUUUGAAGUCUCCUCCUCCCUGUUAAUUUUCAUUUCCCAGCGUUGACGCCUGGCUCUCCAAGGCUGGGGACCGCCCAGACUCUAUGCCUGUGCGCUGGGGCAGCCUCUGGGGGUGCCUCCCGCCUCAGGGCCCGGACCCCAGUGGCGACCGUGCUGGUUGUCCAGCCCCCACCAACGGGGCCCCCGCCAGGCCGAGCUCACCCCCUGAGGAAGUCCCAGGGCAGAGCAGCGACACCACCGGCCCCGGCUCCAUGGGAGGAGGUCUCUGGGCUGGGGUCCCGGGCUUUGGGAAUUCACCCCCUUUGUUUGCAUUUCAUUAACUGCAUAUGAGAAGCAGGUGAAAGCAAUUUAUGCAAAUCCUCUUUUCAACAGUGUCAGACUUUUUACCUUUUGAUAACAGCAGCCUGCCCGGGGGGGAGGGGGGCCGCAGACCAGCACAUUUUGAGGCCCAGUUUAAAAUUUGAGCUCCCUCCCCCCACCACUUCUUCAAAGCCUUCUCUGAGGAUAAGAUAAGAGUGUAAUCCCUUAGUUUGGUACAAAUGUUUAAGACUCUGUGUCUCUAAAAUCCAAUUUGAGUUAGCCUUGUACUUUAAAGCCCUUUCGUCGGCUGAACUGAGAGACGCGUUUGUGACACGUUUAAUGGACAGCACUGUGCGGCCUCCAUCCCCCACUGACCCCGCCAGGUCGCGGGGAAGAUGGGCCAGGGGCCAGCGUCAUGGCUCCAGAAAGCGGCAGCCCCGUCUCUUUUCAGCAGAGACUUGGCCAAGUUCCCUCCCUGGGGCUUGAAGACCCUGACAACAUCAGAGCCGCCCGGCUCUCAGACUCGCCUGUCCCGACCUUGGCAUCCUCAGAAGGUCGCUGCACACACCCUCGAUCCUCAGGGAGGUUGGCUCAGCCCAUCCUUGCCUGGGCCCCAGGGGCCCCAGCCACCCGCGCCUCACAGGACUUCACCACGGUUCACUCCCUGGGCGCCCACGGGGUCCCAGGCACCUCACAGGAGCCAAUGUGAGGCUCAGGCGUAGACACUGAGGCCCACGGGGCAGGACGGGCCGGAGCUCAGCUGGGCAGAGGCGCCAGCGCCAGUGGGAAGACGGCCCCGCAGGCACAGCCGCUCCCAGAGACCCAGGACGCAGCCCCAAGGGUGCAGGGCCUGACCCAGGGCUUUGCUGGACUUCCAAAGCUCCUCUAUGAGUAGAACCGCUCAGUAUCUGUCCUUCUGUGACGGGCUCAUUUCACUGAGCACAAUGUCUUCAGCGUUCACCCAUGGUGUGGC